UACAGAGGUGGCAAGCGUUGUUCGGAAUUACUGGGCGUAAAGGGCGCGUAGGCGGCUUGUUAAGUCAGGGGUGAAAUCCUGGAGCUCAACUCCAGAACUGCCUUUGAUACUGGCGAGCUUGAGUUCGGGAGAGGUGAGUGGAACUGCGAGUGUAGAGGUGAAAUUCGUAGAUAUUCGCAAGAACACCAGUGGCGAAGGCGGCUCACUGGCCCGAUACUGACGCUGAGGUGCGAAAGCGUGGGGAGCAAACAGG
rnacentral:rRNA from 1 species